CCUGGAAGGCUCGGUUGGUUAGAGCAUGGUCCGGAGAAUGCCAAGGUUGCAGGUUUGAUCCCUGUAUGGGA